rnacentral:tRNA from 1 species
UAUGGAGUAGUAUAUCAAAUACCUUGUGCUUACACCGCGAAAUUGGCUUUGUGCCCUCCGUUA